UACGAAGGGGACUAGCGUUGUUCGGAUUUACUGGGCGUAAAGCGCGCGUAGGCGGAUCGCUAAGUCAGGGGUGAAAUCCCAGGGCUCAACCCUGGAACUGCCUUUGAUACUGACGAUCUGGAGAUCGGGAGAGGUUGGUGGAAUUCCGAGUGUAGAGGUGAAAUUCGUAGAUAUUCGGAGGAACACCAGAAGCGAAGGCGGCCAACUGGCCCGAUACUGACGCUGAGGCGCGAAAGCGUGGGGAGCGAACAG
rnacentral:rRNA from 1 species